GCAGACGCCCGUGCGGGCGACGCCGCGAUAAGGGAGAAUUGGACACUUGUUGGUUGCGACCGACCAAGUCCGGCAGCGAUAUGACGGAAAGUCGUAAGGCCCCGGCAGGAUGCUCGCAAUCUGCGCGGCCUCAAGACAGGCCGAGAACGGGUAAGAUGAGUGAGUAAGCGCCGGAAUCGACGGUGGCCUCACAUUCGAUGCCGCGCAGCGUGCCGUCGCGAUCCGCGUAUGCGGUGAUGAUAUAAUGAUGCUCGCGGCAGUU
rnacentral:misc_RNA from 1 species